GAUCCUACGGGGGGCAGCAGUGAGGAAUAUUGGUCAAUGGUCGGGAGACUGAACCAGCCAAGCCGCGUGAGUGAAGAAGUAUUUCGGUAUGUAAAGCUCUAUCAGCAGGGAAGAUAAUGACGGUACCUGACUAAGAAGCCCCGGCUAACUACGUGCCAGCAGCCGCGGUAAUACGUAGGCGGCAAGCGUUAUCCGGAUUUGCUGGGUGUAAAGGGUGCGUAGGUGGCAGGGCAAGUCAGAUGUGAAAGCCCGGGGCUCAACCCCGGUACUGCAUUUGAAACUGUCCAGCUGGAGUGCAGGAGAGG
rnacentral:rRNA from 1 species